GACGAACGCUGGCGGCGUGCUUAACACAUGCAAGUCGAACGGUAAGGCCCUUCGGGGGUACACGAGUGGCGAACGGGUGAGUAACACGUGGGUGAUCUGCCCUGCACUUCGGGAUAAGCCUGGGAAACUGGGUCUAAUACCGGAUAGGACCACUGCCUGCAUGGGUGGUGGUGGAAAGCUUUUGCGGUGUGGGAUGGGCCCGCGGCCUAUCAGCUUGUUGGUGGGGUGAUGGCCUACCAAGGCGACGACGGGUAGCCGGCCUGAGAGGGUGACCGGCCCCACUGGGACUGGGAUACGGCCCAGACUCCUACGGGAGGCAGCAGUGGGGAAUAUUGCACAAUGGGCGCAAGCCUGAUGCAGCGACGCCGCGUGAGGGAUGACGGCCUUCGGGUUGUAAACCUCUUUCAGCACCGACGAAGCGCAAGUGACGGUAGGUGCAGAAGAAGGACCGGCCAACUACGUGCCAGCAGCCGCCGUAA
rnacentral:rRNA from 1 species